CGAGCAUGCCGCGUGAGUGAGGAAGGCCUUCGGGUCGUAAAGCUCUGUUGCGAGGGAAAAAGGAACGGAAGAGGAAAUGAUUCCGUUUUGAUGGUACCUCGCCAGAAAGUCACGGCUAACUACGUGCCAGCAGCCGCGGUAAUACGUAGGUGGCAAGCGUUAUCCGGAAUGAUUGGGCGUAAAGGGUGCGCAGGCGGCAUAUCAAGUCUGAAGUGAAAGGUACGGGCUCAACCUGUACAGGCUUUGGAAACUGGUAUGCUCGAGGACAGGAGAGGGCGGUGGAACUCCACGUGUAGCGGUAAAAUGCGUAGAGAUGUGGAAGAACACCAGUGGCGAAGGCGGCCGCCUGGCCUGUAACUGACGCUCAGGCACGAAAGCGUGGGGAGCAAAUAGGAUUAGAUACCCUAGUAGUCCACGCCCUAAACGAUGAGGAGCAGGUGUCGGGGGUAGUACCUCGGUGCCGAAGCUAACGCAAUGACUCCUCCGCCUGGGGAGUAUGCACGCAAGUGUGAAACUCAAAGGAAUUGACGGGGGCCCGCACAAGCGGUGGAGUAUGUGGUUUAAUUCGAAGCAACGCGAAGAACCUUACCAGGCCUUGACAUGGGAUGCGAAGACUUAGAGAUAAGUU
rnacentral:rRNA from 1 species